CAUCCUACGGGACGAAGCAGUGGGGAAUAGUGCAUAAUGGGGGAAAUCCUGAUGCAGCAACGCCGCGUGAGUGAGGAAGUAUUUCGGUAUGUAAAGCUCUAUCAGCAGGGAAUAGAAAAGAAGGUACCUGAAAAAGAAGCCCCGGCUAACUACGUGCCAGCAGCCGCGGUAAUACGUAGGGGGCACGCGUUAUCCGGAUUUACUGGGUGUAAGGGAGCGUAGACGGAAAGGCAAGUCAGAAGAGAAAACACAAGGCUCAACAAUGGGACUGCUUUUGAAAAUGUCAAACUAGAGUACGGGAGAGG
rnacentral:rRNA from 1 species